AUUGACCCAUCAUUAAUUUGAGUUGCUAUAUAAAUUGCUGUACUUUACCAUAUAACAAUAAUUUUUAAAUUGAGUAGUGUUACUCAUUAUAAUUAAAUAGGUAUUAGUAUUAGCUUAAAUUAAUUAAUUAGACAGGUUUCACCAGCUGCAUCAGGUUAAAAUAAUAUUAUCUCCUUUGUGUAUGUCAAUUGUAUAAUUUUACUCAUAACUAUC